CCUACGGGUGGCAGCAGUGGGGAAUAUUGCACAAUGGGGGAAACCCUGAUGCAGCGACGCCGCGUGAGUGAAGACGUAUUUCGGUAUGUGAAGCUCUAUCAGCAGGGAAGAAAAUGACGGUACCUGAUUAAGAAGCCCCGGCUAACUCCGUGCCAGCAGCCGCGGUCAUACGUAGGGGGCAAGCGUUAUCCGGAUUUACGGGGUGUAAAGGGAGCGUAGGCGGCAGAACAAGUCGGUAGUGAAAUGCUGGGGCUUAACCCUGGGACUGCUUUGGAAACUGUGCAGCUAGAGUGCAGUAGAGGUAAGCGGAAUUCCUAGUGUAGCGGUGAAAGGCGUAGAUAUUAGGAGGAACACCAGUGGCGAAGGCGGCUUACUGGACUGUAACUGACGUUGAUGCUCGAAAGCGUGGGGAUCAAACAGGAUUAGAUACCCCUGUAGUC
rnacentral:rRNA from 1 species